rnacentral:rRNA from 1 species
GGCGGCAGCUACACAUGCAGGUCGAGCGGUAGAGAGGUGCUUGCACCUCUUGAGAGCGGCGGACGGGUGAGUAAUGCCUAGGAAUCUGCCUGGUAGUGGGGGAUAACGCUCGGAAACGGACGCUAAUACCGCAUACGUCCUACGGGAGAAAGCAGGGGACCUUCGGGCCUUGCGCUAUCAGAUGAGCCUAGGUCGGAUUAGCUAGUUGGUGAGGUAAUGGCUCACCAAGGCGACGAUCCGUAACUGGUCUGAGAGGAUGAUCAGUCACACUGGAACUGAGACACGGUCCAGACUCCUACGGGAGGCAGCAGUGGGGAAUAUUGGACAAUGGGCGAAAGCCUGAUCCAGCCAUGCCGCGUGUGUGAAGAAGGUCUUCGGAUUGUAAAGCACUUUAAGUUGGGAGGAAGGGCAUUAACCUAAUACGUUAGUGUUUUGACGUUACCGACAGAAUAAGCACCGGCUAACUCUGUGCCAGCAGCCGCGGUAAUACAGAGGGUGCAAGCGUUAAUCGGAAUUACUGGGCGUAAAGCGCGCGUAGGUGGUUCGUUAAGUUGGAUGUGAAAUCCCCGGGCUCAACCUGGGAACUGCAUUCAAAACUGUCGAGCUAGAGUAUGGUAGAGGGUGGUGGAAUUUCCUGUGUAGCGGUGAAAUGCGUAGAUAUAGGAAGGAACACCAGUGGCGAAGGCGACCACCUGGACUGAUACUGACACUGAGGUGCGAAAGCGUGGGGAGCAAACAGGAUUAGAUACCCUGGUAGUCCACGCCGUAAACGAUGUCCAACUACCCGUUGGGAGCCUUGAGCUCUUAGUGGCGCAGCUAACGCAUUAAGUUGACCGCCUGGGGAGUACGGCCGCAAGGUUAAAACUCAAAUGAAUUGACGGGGGCCCGCACAAGCGGUGGAGCAUGUGGUUUAAUUCUAAGCACCGCGAAGAUCCU